GAAUUAUUGGGUGUAAAGGGUGCGUAGGCGGGAUGUAAAGUCAGAUGUGAAAUACCGUGGCUUAACCACGGGGCUGCAUUUGAAACUUAUGUUCUUGAGUUAAGUAGAGGCAAGUGGAAUUCCCAGUGUAGCGGUGAAAUGCGUAGAUAUUGGGAGGAACACCAGUGGCGAAGGCGAUUUGCUGGGCUUAUACUGACGCUGAGGCACGAAAGUGUGGGGAGCAAACAGGAUUAGAUACCCUGGUAGUCCACACUGUAAACGAUGAUUACUAGGUGUAGGGUGGCUGAACCACUCUGUGCUGCAGUUAACACAAUAAGUAAUCCACCUGGGGAGUACGGCCGCAAGGUUGAAACUCAAAGGAAUUGACGGGGGCCCGCACAAGCAGUGGAGUAUGUGGUUUAAUUCGACGCAACGCGAAAAACCUUACCAGGUCUUGACAUCCAACUAACGAGGCAGAGAUGCGUUAGGUGCCCUUCGGGGAAAGUUGAGACAGGUGGUGCAUGGU
rnacentral:rRNA from 1 species